AUUGAACGCUGGCGGCAUGCCUUACACAUGCAAGUCGAACGGCAGCACGGGAGCAAUCCUGGUGGCGAGUGGCGAACGGGUGAGUAAUAUAUCGGAACGUGCCCGGUCGUGGGGGAUAACGUAGCGAAAGCUACGCUAAUACCGCAUACGAUCUACGGAUGAAAGCGGGGGAUCGCAAGACCUCGCGCGAUUGGAGCGGCCGAUAUCAGAUUAGGUAGUUGGUGAGGUAAAGGCUCACCAAGCCGACGAUCUGUAGCUGGUCUGAGAGGACGACCAGCCACACUGGGACUGAGACACGGCCCAGACUCCUACGGGAGGCAGCAGUGGGGAAUUUUGGACGAAUGGGCGCAAGCCUGAUCCAGCAAUGCCGCGUGCAGGAUGAAGGCC
rnacentral:rRNA from 1 species